rnacentral:lncRNA from 1 species
AACGAACAAUCUAGGCUUCAAUCAACAAGGCCCAACUAAAAGCCUUCAAACAAAUCAUAAUAGCCCAACGGAUUGUGGGCUCCAUACUUUUUUCUUUUUUCCUUUUUCCUGUUUUCUUUUUCUAUUUUUUCCUUUCUUUUCCUUCUUCUUUCUUCGGUUCCAGUAGCAAAAUAGGCGAAAAACAUGUGCAAACCAACAUUCUGAACCAAGACUCCGAGGUGUGGUUGCAGCUUUCAGGCGAGGAAGCAAGUGACAGUUGCCAGAUUUCAGGCAAUGGGUGGAGGCGUGACUGGGUGGCUUGGCAGCGGGGUGGAUUCGAACGGCAGAUGUGCUGGGUGACGAUGCAGCGGAAGAUGUGCAGCAGGUCAGGGAACAAAGUAUCUGGAGUUGGGGUGGCAGCGGCAAUCGAAAACUGGUGUGGGUAUGGUUGUGGAUCUAGGAUCUAGUAGCGAUUCAGAACAAACCGGAGAGGAACCGACAAGGAACCGAGACAUACAAACAGAGACCAACAAACUGACAUGAACAGAGCAGAAGCAGAUUAAACCCGACGGUUCAAUCCUACUCUGAUAGCAAGUUGAAAUAAACGGACGAACAAACGAAAUAUAAUUAUGAACAUUUUAUUAAACGAGAUUCGCCGAAACGACUAUCACAAACUGACUACAUCUUUACUGACAUAUUGUUCAACGAGCAACAAAACAUCAUAUAUAGAGAAUUAAUCUAACCCUAAUAAGUAAGAAAACGAAACCCUAAUACUAACGGACUAAGC